rnacentral:miRNA from 1 species
UGAUGGUGUUUAUGUCGUCGAUAUUCGACGUCAUAAACACCAAACUUGAUGGUGUUUAUGACGUCGAAUAUCGACGUCAUAAACA